ACAACAUCAUAGUUUUAUUAAUGCAGUUGAAAACAGCGAAUAAGCUACAAAGUUCAGUGAUACAGAUCCCCGUGUCUCCAAGCCAGCAAUUGCACAGAUUUACAUCUUAAUUGAUAUUUUAUUCUGAAAGGAAAAUCGAAGCCCUCAGCUACCUAAGUCCUUACAAUUAAUCAGGCACAGAAUAAUCUAUAAAGAUUACCAGUACCACCAUCCCAGUAGCAUUGAAAAAAACACCCCACCCAACCCUAAACAAAAAAAAAAACAAAACAAGAAACCCAAAGGCAGAAGAAGCUCUUCAAAAUCUGUAAGCUAUCAGGGGAACAUUGUCUAACAACAGUUCACAAUCCACAGGGCAGUACAUGCAUUUGCAUUGAGUAAUAACUCAUCAGAAUUGUUAGGUGUGGCAUGGAUUUGAGCACAUAUGGUAUCCCUAAUUUCCCUUGCCUGCUUGAACCUUAAUUCUGUAGUACCAUUGAAGCAGCACUGGUUAAGGGAUCCAUCAGUAUGUAGGCUCUGCUUUAAACAAAAAUACUUGCCUCUGGUUUUCCAGUUGCAGACCAUGACACAAGUCAUGGAUGUAUCCAUAUGCUUUUGCAAGCUUGACAUCCAGGUGAUUUUCAGGUUGGUGCUAUUUUACGUUUGUGUCCCACACACACAGGCCAACCCUACUCUGAAUCUCCAAACAAACUGGAACUGCAAAGUCAAAUUGCUGAGGGCCUCUUUCAUUAGCAGAAUGAAUUUCUUCAGCCAUGUACCACGGCUCUGGAAGGCUGGAGGACUUCCCUUACAGCCAUGACAUCCUUCAGACAUUGUGGAGCCAUUGCUGGUCAUCCCAUGUCAGCAGGACUGUAUAAUCCCACCUACCAUGCUGUCUGUGUCUUGCUUAGCUGCUCCUUAAGUGUUGACGGAUGAGAAAGCAGUCACAGCAUUCAUCUGCUUUGCCAGAUUUAUGAUACAUGCCGUGUUCAGUCUCCAUACUCAAUGCCUUCACAUAAUUAGGAAUGGUCUCUCUGAUCUAGUGUCCCAAACCACAACUGCCAGCAAACACAUGUGUGGGAGCAAGGGGGUUUGUGCCUGUCUCAAGUUUGGCAUCCACGUGUACAAAUGCAUGGACACUUAGAAU
ensembl:lncRNA